AAUGAACGUUGGCGGCAUGGAUUAGGCAUGCAAGUCGAGCGAGAAGUGUAGCAAUACACGGAAAGCGGCGGAAGGGAGAGUAAUACGUGGGAAUCUGCCCUUAGACCUGGGAUAGCAGCGGGAAACUGCUGGUAAUACCAGAUAAUGUCUAUGGACCAAAGGUGUGAUUCCGUCUAGGGAUGAGCCCACGUCCUAUUAGCUAGUUGGUAGGGUAAUGGCCUACCAAGGCGAUGAUGGGUAGCGGGUGUGAGAGCAUGACCCGCCUCACUGGGACUGAGACACUGCCAAGACACCUACGGGUGGCUGCAGUCGAGAAUCUUCGGCAAUGGGCGCAAGCCUGACCGAGCGAUGACGCGUGCGGGAUGAAGGCCUUCGGGUUGUAAACCGCUGUCGAGGGGGAGCAACUUCCAUAGAGUUAUCUUUAUGGAUUGAGUGAUCCCUGGAGGAAGGACGGGCUAAGUUCGUGCCAGCCGCCGCGGUAACAC
rnacentral:rRNA from 1 species